UAGAAUGACAUCUCAAACUCCAAGACUAGUAUUGAUCCAUUGAGAUAAUUUCUCAGCAGCUUGGGCUCUAUAUGGGGAGAUGCAUCUUGGAAUUAUUGCCAUUUUCCAAGAAUUGGAGUCCUAAAACCUAAAUUUUGCCUCACUGUUCUGCUCCCCUGAGAACGAUCCAACGUACUGCUGUGUCUUGAAGUGCAGAGAGUACAUUUUCCGGCAAUUUCUUCACACCAUGUCAGCCGCCUCAUUUUACACAGCAGAGCUGCAGUAGUUCUACACUGAAGACUUCAGAUGCUUGCAGAGCAAGAUACAGCAGGAAUGGAAGGAAGGAAGCAGGGGUAGAAAAGCUCCUCUUUUAGAGGCAAAAGCUGUAAUGCCUGGUUGUUGUGUUGUUGAAUCAUAUCCUUAGGCCAUCAUAACUACCACUUCCUCCACGGGGUUGUUCCUACUGCAGUUAGCUUUGAUUGCUUCAAUGCACCAUUGCUAGCUUGACUUUUAUCCACAGACAACUGUGUAAAGGUAGAAGAAUUAGAAAGUGUUUGAGAAACUUUAAGCUGGCAGAAUGUAGUGUACUGACUCUUGCAUUUCUGUAGAUACACAGCUCUAUAGGUCUUCAGAGCUCCGGGAGCAGCUAGCAGAAGCACAAACCAGACAGACUCCAGCAGUAAGUUUUAGUUUAAUGUUAGGAUAAAAAAAGAGCAGGGACAAAUAAAUCACUGGGACUGGUGCAACAAACCACUAACCUUUAAGAUAGUGCUCAAGAAAAUACCAAACUCAUCUACUAGGAAAAGUGUGGAUUCAUCUGCUAAGCACUUUGAAUAUCAGGGGUGAAGGAGUUGGAGUUAGCCUUUGUUUAAUGGGAAAGAUAAUAUGGUGAAGAAAACCAUCAAAAAAAAAGUGCAGAACUAAACAGCCAGGGGAGCUCAGCUCCAGGCUUCAAGCAUGUGCAUGACCCAGGGAUAAGCCAGGCAAGCAGGCUGGGGCUGACAGGAGUUUGAAAUGAUGAAUGUCCAGGGAAAUAGGACUUUGUAAAGCAACCUGUGUCAAAGGAAUGCUUGUCAUCAUCAGAGAAGUUCUGCUAUUAGGUUUAAAAGAAUAUCCACAAGAUUCCAUUUCUGGACAAGGAAGGAGUCUUUUGGGCCAUACUGCAUACUAAUUUCAGCACACACAAAAAAAUCAAGAACAGUUCCUGGCACUGGUAAACUGGAAGAAAAGUGAUGUUUGGAAGUUCUGCUGCAUCAUCAGGCAAAGGUGAUCAUCAGGCUAAUACCAGUGUGUACAUUCAAAGGAACCCAGCAAAACAGCUACUACUUUUUUCUGUGGUAAUUAAUUUGAUCAUUUGGUAGCACUUAUAUAAAGCACAAAAUGUAAGCAGUCAUGAGGGACACACCACAAAAGAAACUGGCAAAACUCUGGUACUAUUUAAUCUUGUCAGGAGUCAGAUCUACUCCUAUUUUCUGCCUAUCUUAUGCAGGUUUCUUUGAAAAAGGUUUUCUAUUGAAGACAGAAAUUAAAAGUACAAUGAUUAGAAGAGACCAAUGGUCCAACAAGACUGGGAACAUCCACAUACUUCUGGUUAAUCAGGAAAUCACUCUUUCCUUUCUUUUAUUCAAUGUCAGAAAACAACCUUCUUUUUGCAUAAUUGCCUCUAUUUUAAGCUUACACCAAACUUCCGCAGCUCAACAUUGAGCUUGCUUUCUAAAUUACAAACCAGAGCCCAUUAGUGCUGCUCUGGGAGCAACAAAGGAAUGCCCUCCUUUAUCCCUCCAAGCUGUAGUGAUGUCUAUUUCUGUUUUGAAACUUGAUUGAGUUUUCCUAGCCUACACAAGCAUGGAGCUUGAAUCUGUGGGCUAAGCUACAGUGAGUAAGCCUGGUGAUACCAGCUGACCACAUCUAAACUCCCCUCUUGGCAGUACUGACAAUUUCAGGAAGAACUGUCUGAUGUUUCAUGGUUGGCCACAUGACUUUUGUACUGCUGCUCACCAUUUGCUUCUCAGAACCCAAACAGAUUGCAGAAGCAAGCUGAGGGAAGGACAGUAUUCAUUCCGUAAUAGGUGAUGAGUAACUCCCACAAGAUUUGUCUUCUGUUUCUUGAAAUAGAACAUGAAACUUAUUAGGUCUUUAAUUUGGUAAUUUAACUUGAGGUUUUAAAUGCUGAAGGAAGAAAGCUACAAUUCAGACGGGAUGAAUUUUCCAGUGAACUUUGAACUUCCAUUAAACAUGAAAUCAAUAUUAA